rnacentral:misc_RNA from 1 species
GCCAGAGAUGAAUAGUAAGUAGAGUGUAUAUAUAUAUCCCAAUAGAAGGCUGCCAAGAUAAAUGAGUUCCAAUGCCAUAGCUGCCAAUUAUAUUCUUACAACAAACAUGGAACCUAUCCCCCAUUCAAGACCUUAUAGUUAUUGGUAGUUUAUCAUUUCAGUGCAAUUCAAAUGGCAGAUACUUUCAACUUACACUAUAUCUUUCAGCACAUAAUUACAGAACAAGCACUGUGUAAUCCUACAAAUGGAUGACUAAGCACACGUUUCCUUUAAUUUCUGAGAAACCCAUAUUAAAAACACAUAAAAACUAUCAGGCUUGAUCAUCCAUUGGCUAAGACAUAAUAGCAAAGCUAAA